AGCGGCGGACGGGUGAGUAACACGUGGGUAACCUGCCCAAGAGACUGGGAUAACACCUGGAAACAGAUGCUAAUACCGGAUAACAACACUAGACGCAUGUCUAGAGUUUGAAAGAUGGUUCUGCUAUCACUCUUGGAUGGACCUGCGGUGCAUUAGCUAGUUGGUAAGGUAACGGCUUACCAAGGCAAUGAUGCAUAGCCGAGUUGAGAGACUGAUCGGCCACAUUGGGACUGAGACACGGCCCAAACUCCUACGGGAGGCAGCAGUAGGGAAUCUUCCACAAUGGACGAAAGUCUGAUGGAGCAACGCCGCGUGAGUGAAGAAGGGUUUCGGCUCGUAAAGCUCUGUUGGUAGUGAAGAAAGAUAGAGGUAGUAACUGGCCUUUAUUUGACGGUAAUUACUUAGAAAGUCACGGCUAACUACGUGCCAGCAGCCGCGGUAAUACGUAGGUGGCAAGCGUUGUCCGGAUUUAUUGGGCGUAAAGCGAGUGCAGGCGGUUCAAUAAGUCUGAUGUGAAAGCCUUCGGCUCAACCGGAGAAUUGCAUCAGAAACUGUUGAACUUGAGUGCAGAAGAGGAGAGUGGAACUCCAUGUGUAGCGGUGGAAUGCGUAGAUAUAUGGAAGAACACCAGUGGCGAAGGCGGCUCUCUGUCUGCAACUGACGCUGAGGCUCGAAAGCAUGGGUAGCGAACAGGAUUAGAUACCCUGGUAGUCCAUGCCGUAAACGAUGAGUGCUAAGUGU
rnacentral:rRNA from 1 species